UUAGAUAUUAGAGGAAAAGUUGGUAGUUCAUAACUUGGUUAAAAUUUUGUCUAGUCCUUUUAUGACAUUUGAAGGAUAGUAUGUAUCAUUUACUAAUGACAAUUAUCCUUCUUUACCUAUAUCAUGCUCAUUCUUUCAUUUCUUCUCUACUCAAUUAUUAUGUAUCUUACUUUGCAUUUCUUCAGAUACAUCUGUGAGUACUACUAAUGAAGGUCAAGGUCAGUCAUAUUCCUGGGGAGAGAUGCAGUGAAAGAAAGAACUGUCCACGUGCUCUGCUGGUGUGACGUUCUGACCUCGAACUACUUGUUCACAUAGGCACUUGCAGAACUCUUGCAACUAAAUGACUGGAAAAAAUUAUUAAUUCAGGUCAAAGAAGAGAAACAAAUUAUUCAAAUGAAGGAAAAAGAACAAACUUUAUUACAGGCCCAAGCAGGCUAAGCAGAACUUCUGCCAUGGAAAUUAAGACACAGCUGACUGGAGAAGAUGAUGUGUAUGAUGUGUACCCAGCUCUAAGAAGACCCUUACCUUAGGAACUAGUAAAGAGACAACAGAAUUUAUCCCUGCUACAACCACUACUUCUGCCACAAAUCUAGCUCUCCAGUUCUCACCAUCAAACUUCAUGGAAACAUAACUAUUGGGGAAGAAAAGGAGUCAAAACUGAGAGUCACUGACACCAUUAUUGUAAACAGGGGAAUGAACUUGGAAAGGCUACUCCCAUGCACACAGCUUCAGUGAUAGGAAAAUUCAUGAGGUGCACCUAAGAUUUCAUCCAGCAGCAGAGGAAAUCCAGUACCCAUUGGUUAUGUUUUAAAAG